GGCAAGAUGGCCGAGCGGUCUAAGGCGCUGGAAUCAGGAUCCAGUCCAGAAAUGGGCGCGAGUUCGAAUCUCGCUCUUGUCA
rnacentral:tRNA from 1 species